CUGAACGUGACCGGCAGCGGACAGAGCAGAGCAGAACAGAGUAGAGCGGUGCGGAGCGGAGGACAAACAAAUUCAGAAAAACGAGUGAAAAUAUGAAGUAAAACCAACGUCUGGAUCGUCGCUUCGUCGCGUUGGUUUGUUAGAACGUGGAGAAACUUCAUUACUGUACGAGCCACGGUGUUAAAAACAAGCGUUGGAGCCGAGCACAGGUCUACUUGCAGCUGCUGCAUCCUGGAUGAAGACACCAACAUCACCUCACAGACCAUACAGGUGUCACCACUUCGUCCACGACAUCGUCCACAAUUGAUGAGACGUCGUCCAUGAUCGGAGAGACAUUGUUGAGGAUGAGGGAGACAUCGUCCACGAUCAGAGACAUUGUCCAUGACUCGUGGUGACUCGGUCCCCGAUAAGUCGGCAUUGCCGGCGUUCAUGGAGACAUUGUCAAUGAUCGCAGAGACUUUGUCCAUAAUCUCAGAAACAUUGUCCGCGAUCACAGAGACGUCGUCCAUGAUCACAGAGACAUGGUCUACGAUCGGAGAGACAUUGUUGAGGAUGAGGGAGACAUCGUCCACGUUCAGAGACGUUGUCCAUGAUCGCAGAGACCUUGUCAAAGAUGAAAGAGACGUUGUCCAUGGUCAGAGACAUUGUCGCUGCUUCGCAGAGCUCUGCGCAAGAAUCGGUAGUGACACUGUGGUUCCUCGAUUCGACGGCAUGACCGCGAUCAGCUGACAUUGUUAAUGAUCACAGAGAAACAGUCUAUCAUCAGAGACUUGGUCCACGAUCACAGACACAUUGUCAAUGAUCGCUGAGACUUUGUCCAUAAUCUCAGAGACAUUGUCCGCGAUCACAGAGACGUAGUCCACGAUCACAGAAGACCAGGUGUCACCACUUCGUCCACGACAUCGUCCCCAAUCGCUGAGACGUCGUCCAUGAUCGGAGAGACAUUGUUGAGGAUGAGGGAGACAUCGUCCACGAUCAGAGACAUUGUCCAUGACUCGUGGUGACUCGGUCCCCGAUUAGUCGGCAUUGCCGGCGUUCAUGGAGACAUUGUCGAUGAUCGCAGAGACUUUGUCUAUAAUCUCAGAGACAUUGUCCGCGAUCGCUGAGAGUCUUCGUACAGUGACGUUCUUUGAGACCAGGACAGAGGCCUCCAGGUGUCACCACUUCGUCCACGACAUCGUCCACAAUUGAUGAGACGUCGUCCAUGAUCGGAGAGACAUUGUUGAGGAUGAGGGAGACAUCGUCCACGAUCAGAGACAUUGUCCAUGACUCGUGGUGACUCGGUCCCCGAUAAGUCGGCAUUGCCGGCGUUCAUGGAGAUAUUGUCAAUGAUCGCAGAGACUUUGUCUAUAAUCUCAGAAACAUUGUCCGCGAUCACAGAGACGUCGUCCAUGAUCACAGAGACAUGGUCUACGAUCGGAGAGACAUUGUUGAGGAUGAGGGAGACAUCGUCCACGUUCAGAGACGUUGUCCAUGAUCGCAGAGACCUUGUCAAAGAUGAAAGAGACGUUGUCCAUGGUCAGAGACAUUGUCGCUGCUUCGCAGAGCUCUGCGCAAGAAUCGGUAGUGACACUGUGGUUCCUCGAUUCGACGGCAUGACCGCGAUCAGCUGACAUUGUUAAUGAUCACAGAGAAACAGUCUAUCAUCAGAGACUUGGUCCACGAUCACAGACACAUUGUCAAUGAUCGCUGAGACUUUGUCCAUAAUCUCAGAGACAUUGUCCGCGAUCACAGAGACGUAGUCCACGAUCACAGAAGACCAGGUGUCACCACUUCGUCCACGACAUCGUCCCCAAUCGCUGAGACGUCGUCCAUGAUCGGAGAGACAUUGUUGAGGAUGAGGGAGACAUCGUCCACGAUCAGAGACAUUGUCCAUGACUCGUGGUGACUCGGUCCCCGAUUAGUCGGCAUUGCCGGCGUUCAUGGAGACAUUGUCGAUGAUCGCAGAGACUUUGUCUAUAAUCUCAGAGACAUUGUCCGCGAUCGCUGAGAGUCUUCGUACAGUGACGUUCUUUGAGACCAGGACAGAGGCCUCCAGGUGUCACCACUUCGUCCACGACAUCGUCCACAAUUGAUGAGACGUCGUCCAUGAUCGGAGAGACAUUGUUGAGGAUGAGGGAGACAUCGUCCACGAUCAGAGACAUUGUCCAUGACUCGUGGUGACUCGGUCCCCGAUAAGUCGGCAUUGCCGGCGUUCAUGGAGAUAUUGUCAAUGAUCGCAGAGACUUUGUCUAUAAUCUCAGAAACAUUGUCCGCGAUCACAGAGACGUCGUCCAUGAUCACAGAGACAUGGUCUACGAUCGGAGAGACAUUGUUGAGGAUGAGGGAGACAUCGUCCACGUUCAGAGACGUUGUCCAUGAUCGCAGAGACCUUGUCAAAGAUGAAAGAGACGUUGUCCAUGGUCAGAGACAUUGUCGCUGCUUUGCAGAGCUCUGCGCAAGAAUCGGUAGUGACACUGUGGUUCCUCGAUUCGACGGCAUGACCGCGAUCAGCUGACAUUGUUAAUGAUCACAGAGUAACAGUCUAUCAUCAGAGACUUGGUCCACGAUCACAGACACAUUGUCAAUGAUCGCUGAGACUUUGUCCAUAAUCUCAGAGACAUUGUCCGCGAUCACAGAGACGUAGUCCACGAUCACAGAAGACCAGGUGUCACCACUUCGUCCACGACAUCGUCCCCAAUCGCUGAGACGUCGUCCAUGAUCGGAGAGACAUUGUUGAGGAUGAGGGAGACAUCGUCCACGAUCAGAGACAUUGUCCAUGACUCGUGGUGACUCGGUCCCCGAUUAGUCGGCAUUGCCGGCGUUCAUGGAGACAUUGUCGAUGAUCGCAGAGACUUUGUCUAUAAUCUCAGAGACAUUGUCCGCGAUCGCUGAGAGUCUUCGUACAGUGACGUUCUUUGAGACCAGGACAGAGGCCUCCAGGUGUCACCACUUCGUCCACGACAUCGUCCACAAUUGAUGAGACGUCGUCCAUGAUCGGAGAGACAUUGUUGAGGAUGAGGGAGACAUCGUCCACGAUCAGAGACAUUGUCCAUGACUCGUGGUGACUCGGUCCCCGAUAAGUCGGCAUUGCCGGCGUUCAUGGAGAUAUUGUCAAUGAUCGCAGAGACUUUGUCUAUAAUCUCAGAAACAUUGUCCGCGAUCACAGAGACGUCGUCCAUGAUCACAGAGACAUGGUCUACGAUCGGAGAGACAUUGUUGAGGAUGAGGGAGACAUCGUCCACGUUCAGAGACGUUGUCCAUGAUCGCAGAGACCUUGUCAAAGAUGAAAGAGACGUUGUCCAUGGUCAGAGACAUUGUCGCUGCUUCGCAGAGCUCUGCGCAAGAAUCGGUAGUGACACUGUGGUUCCUCGAUUCGACGGCAUGACCGCGAUCAGCUGACAUUGUUAAUGAUCACAGAGUAACAGUCUAUCAUCAGAGACUUGGUCCACGAUCACAGACACAUUGUCAAUGAUCGCUGAGACUUUGUCCAUAAUCUCAGAGACAUUGUCCGCGAUCACAGAGACGUAGUCCACGAUCACAGAAGACCAGGUGUCACCACUUCGUCCACGACAUCGUCCCCAAUCGCUGAGACGUCGUCCAUGAUCGGAGAGACAUUGUUGAGGAUGAGGGAGACAUCGUCCACGAUCAGAGACAUUGUCCAUGACUCGUGGUGACUCGGUCCCCGAUUAGUCGGCAUUGCCGGCGUUCAUGGAGACAUUGUCGAUGAUCGCAGAGACUUUGUCUAUAAUCUCAGAGACAUUGUCCGCGAUCGCUGAGAGUCUUCGUACAAUGACGUUCUUUGAGACCAGGACAGAGGCCUCCAGGUGUCACCACUUCGUCCACGACAUCGUCCACAAUUGAUGAGACGUCGUCCAUGAUCGGAGAGACAUUGUUGAGGAUGAGGGAGACAUCGUCCACGAUCAGAGACAUUGUCCAUGACUCGUGGUGACUCGGUCCCCGAUAAGUCGGCAUUGCCGGCGUUCAUGGAGACAUUGUCAAUGAUCGCAGAGACUUUGUCUAUAAUCUCAGAAACAUUGUCCACGAUCACAGAGACGUCGUCCAUGAUCACAGAGACAUGGUCUACGAUCGGAGAGACAUUGUUGAGGAUGAGGGAGACAUCGUCCACGUUCAGAGACGUUGUCCAUGAUCGCAGAGACCUUGUCAAAGAUGAAAGAGACGUUGUCCAUGGUCAGAGACAUUGUCGCUGCUUCGCAGAGCUCUGCGCAAGAAUCGGUAGUGACACUGUGGUUCCUCGAUUCGACGGCAUGACCGCGAUCAGCUGACAUUGUUAAUGAUCACAGAGAAACAGUCUAUCAUCAGAGACUUGGUCCACGAUCACAGACACAUUGUCAAUGAUCGCUGAGACUUUGUCCAUAAUCUCAGAGACAUUGUCCGCGAUCACAGAGACGUAGUCCACGAUCACAGAAGACCAGGUGUCACCACUUCGUCCACGACAUCGUCCCCAAUCGCUGAGACGUCGUCCAUGAUCGGAGAGACAUUGUUGAGGAUGAGGGAGACAUCGUCCACGAUCAGAGACAUUGUCCAUGACUCGUGGUGACUCGGUCCCCGAUUAGUCGGCAUUGCCGGCGUUCAUGGAGACAUUGUCGAUGAUCGCAGAGACUUUGUCUAUAAUCUCAGAGACAGUGUCCGCGAUCACAGAGACGUUGUCCAUGAUCACAGAGAGUCUUCGUACAAUGAAGUUCUUUUAGACCAGGACAGAGGCCUCCAGGAGAAGAAGAGUGAAGAAGAGACAACAAAAGUUAAAUGUUCUUCAAGAUGUUUAGAGAUGUAUAAGACUGUAAUAAGUAUAUCCUCAUAUGUGCUCAUCACUCCAUUAAACUUUGGAUGAGAGAAUAAAUUAAAAGUGUUUCCAAGUGGUCAAACAUUGGACAUUGUCUUUGCCAUGGUUUGCUAAAUGUUGUCCAGAACAAAAUCAAUAAAGUUGUUCUGCUUAA